GGUUCGGUGGCGUAGUUGGUUAUCGCAUCUGUCUAACAUCUUCAAUCACAGAAGGUCCCCAGUUCGAGCCUGGGUCGAAUCA